CUGAAACAUCUAAGUACCCGGAGGAAAGGAAAUCAAUUGAUACUCCCCUAGUAGCGGCGAGCGAACGGGGACCAGCCGAGCCAGAUAAGUGACUAGAACACGUUGGGAAGCGUGGCCAUAGCGGGUGACAGCCCCGUAUAGGAAGCUUUGAUGGACGUAUUAAGUAGGGCGGAACACGUGAAAUUCUGUCUGAAGAUCGGAGGACCACCUUCGAAGGCUAAGUACUCCUUGCUGACCGAUAGCGAACCAGUACCGUGAGGGAAAGGUGAAAAGCACCC
rnacentral:rRNA from 1 species